rnacentral:rRNA from 1 species
CCUACGGGAGGCAGCAGUGAGGAAUAUUGGUCAAUGGCCGUAAGGCUGAACCAGCCAAGUCGCGUGAAGGAUGAAGGACCUAUGGUUUGUAAACUUCUUUUAUAGGGGAAUAAAGGUAUCCACGUGUGGAUUUUUGCAUGUACCCUAUGAAUAAGCAUCGGCUAACUCCGUGCCAGCAGCCGCGGUAAUACGGAGGAUGCGAGCGUUAGCCGGAUUUAUUGGGUUUAAAGGGUGCGUAGGUUGUUGUUUAAGUCAGCGGUGAAAGUUUGUGGCUCAACCAUAAAAUGGCCGUUGAAACUGGAAGACUUGAGUGUGUUUGAGGUAGGCGGAAUGCGUGGUGUAGCGGUGAAAUGCAUAGAUAUCACGCAGAACUCCGAUUGCGAAGGCAGCUUACUACGCCAUAACUGACACUGAAGCACGAAAGCGUGGGGAUCAAACAGGAUUAGAUACCCUUGUAGUC